GUGGUGCUCUGUGGCAACGGGCUGUCGGAGU
rnacentral:piRNA from 1 species